AGAGACUUAGGCUAGCACAAGACCAAGGGCCUUCAAAGCCCUAAGCGAGGGUGAAAAUCCCUCAGUCCCUG
rnacentral:tRNA from 1 species